rnacentral:lncRNA from 1 species
CCUGGACGCUGAAGGAGCACUCGGGGCCUGUGUAGGGUCAGCGCCUUUUAUUGGGGACAAAAAGUGACCACUGGGGACAGAGAGUGACCCCUGGGGGCAAAAAAGUGACCCCUGGGGACAGAAAGUGACCCCUGGGGACAGAAAGUGACCCCUGGGGACAAAAAAGUGACCCCUGGGGACAAAGUGACCACAGAAGUGAUGGCUCUGUCCGGCCACUGCCUGUCCUGGCAGCUCCAGGGCACAGCCAGGGACCGUCCCUGUCCCGUGUCCUUUAUUGUCCCUUGUCCCAUGUCCUGUGUCCACCUCAUCUCCAUUUGUCCAUCCCUGUGUCCAUCUGUCCAUCCCCGUGUCAGUUAUCCCGUGUCCAUUGUCCCAUGUCCAUCUGUCCGUUAUCCCGUGUCCGUUAUCCCGUGUCCAUUAUCCCGUGUCCGUUGUCCCAUGUCCAUCUGUCCGUCCCCGUGUCCGUUAUCCCGUGUCCGUGCCGUGUCCGUCCGUCCGUCCGUGCCGCGUCCCUCAGGCUGAUCCGGGUGUCCGGGGCCCGUCCUUGUCCCCGGUUCCGGUUCCGGUUCCGGUUCCGGUUCCGGUGGCGGCCCAGCUCGGCCUGCGGAU